GAUGAACGCUAGCUACAGGCCUAACACAUGCAAGUCGAGGGACCGGCGCACGGGUGAGUAACACGUAUCCAACCUGCCCUUUACCCGGGGAUAGCCUUUCGAAAGAAAGAUUAAUACCCGAUAUCAAGGGUGGGGAUGCGUUCGAUUAGGUUGUUGGUGAGGUAACGGCCCACCAAGCAGUCGAUGGAUAGGGGUUCUGAGAGGAAGGUCCCCUACAUUUGAACGGAGCAACGGUCCAAACUCGUACGGGAGGCAGCAGUGAAGAAUAUUGGUCAAGAGGCGAUAGCCUGAACCAGCCAAGUAGCGUGAAGGAUGAAGGCUUAUGGGUCGUAAACUUCUUUUAUAUAAGAAUAUGUAUUAUAUGAAUAAGGAUCGGCUAACUCCGUGCCAGCAGCCGCGGUAAUUC
rnacentral:rRNA from 1 species